rfam:Arabidopsis lyrata subsp. lyrata unplaced genomic scaffold ARALYscaffold_3, whole genome shotgun sequence.
UCCGCUGUAGCACAAUGGCUAAAUUCCUUCUUUGUAUUUGAAAAAUUCCGGGUUCGAAGCCCGGCAGCGGAA